ACCCUAUUGGUUGGGAUUACCAAAACUCAGAAUAAGGUUGUCUUUUGGGGCAGGAGCGUAGGUGCUUGUAAGUCUCUUCCACUCUCACAACAGGAUUCUAUUUCUAUCCCUAGCAGAACUGUCCUAGAAGGCUUAUGGGCCUGUAUUUAACUGAUACUUGUCCUCCAGGCAUUUUUCAUGGAGAAGACCUUAAGCCUGCAGCCACUCAAUAUUUACCACAAACUCAUUUGAAAGAAACUAAGUUUAUAAGAUAGUCACCAUGCAAACUCUCAGACAUUAUAAAGCAGUGUUUUUGUUUGUUUUUCAGUAGAACCCAUUAUCCAAGCAAAAUCCCUUGAGGAACCUGGCAUAUAAAACAGAUAAAGGGGAACUGCUCUGGUGGAAGCAGGGAACAGUUGCAAGAUGUUGAUUCUUUUGCAUUUCUCUGUUGGUGAUCCUCUAAACGUUCCUGAGUGAAAAUAUCAGGUACUUCAUGGACACGUGGCCUGACAUAUCCUUGAUGUUCAUCAGACUCCCGAGUGUUUUACUCAUGUCCAAGUACUGCAAGGCAAGUGCGCAGAUAAGAGGUACUUCCUAAGGUGUCUUAUUCUAGCUCAUUCAUUUUCUGCACUUGCAGAGAACAAACAAAUGCUCUGGAAAUGAUUGCAAUUGGGGCAUUUAUGCCACUAAUUUUCCCCAAAGCCAUUUACACAAUGCCUUUUCGAGAACCGAGAAAAAAAAAAAUGACAACAGAUAUAAAUAUUUAUUCUAACAACCCAAAUUUUUAAGGAAUUCAGUUAUGCAAUUUCUGACCCAUGCUGGGAUGGUAGAUGGGUCUUGCAAAGCUAUUGUAACAGGUACAUAGGUAUAUAAAGCUUAGUUAAACUACCCCAUGGUGAACACUGACUGUAGGGGACCCAGGCUUUGGGCAGAAGGGGCGCGGAUGGGAUAUGUACAUACCAGUUUUUCACUGAGAUCCAAAGCCUCAGAUGCAUCUGUUUUCCCUGACUUCUCAAUGGUCAGAAUGGGCCCUGAGUUGGAAAGGCCAUUUUGAGGCUGAAAUAAAAAAGAGAUAAAAAUUCUCUCUCGGCAUGCCAUCAUGAAUUCCUAUAACCAGAAGUCAAAACAUUGCGUUGUUAUGGAAUAGUAACUCAAGAGAAUUGAUUUUCAUUUUGGUUUCCUGACUAUUCAGUCCGAAUCUGAUUUCCUUUCUCAUCUGCUCUCUUAGUUCUGUGUUCCCACCCUUCAGAGUACCACUCUCUGUUUGAAGUUAUACAUCACCUGUCUCAUUCUUUGGUCACUGACUGUCUCCCCUUCUAGGAGGCAUUUGGCAAUAUCUGGAGAUAGUUUUGGCUGUCACAACUGGAUGUGGGGGUGUGCUACUGGCAACUGGUGAGUAGAGGCCAGGGAUGCUGCUAAACAUCGUACAAUGCACAGUUAAGAAUUGUUGUUGGGUGCUGUUCAUCAAUUCCGACUUAUAACGACCCCGUGUGACAGAGUAAAACUGCCACAUAGGAUUUUCUUGGCUGUCUUUCUCCCGCAAAGUCACUGGGUGGGUUUGAACUGCCAACCUUUUGGUUAGCAGCCGAGCGCUUAAAUGUUGAGCCACCAGAGCUUCUAAACCCAACCAAAUUCGUUGCUGUUGUGUCCAUUUCCACUUACAGAGACCCUACAGGACAGAGUAGAACUGCCCCAUAAGGUUUCCAAGGCUGCAACGUGUACGAAGCAGACUGCCACAUCUUUUUCUCGCAGAGUGGCUGGUGGGUUCAAACCUCUAACCUUUCGUUUAGCAGCCGAGCGCUUAACCACUACACGACCAGGGCUCUUCACUAGUUAAGACUUAUCAGGCCCAAAACAUCGAUAGUGCUGGGAUAGGUAAACCCUGCUUUAGAUAAUAGAAACAAGGACCAUGCUAUGCUGCUCUUUGCUCACUAUCUCACCCCUUGUGCUUAGCAUGGCACCUGGUACGGAGUGGCACACAGUAGGCACGUUUGGGGAAUGAAUGUAUGAAGGUUAAAUAGCAAAAUCCCCCUUUUAUUAAAGGAACCACAUCUUUAUGCAAAGGAAAUUAUGCCCUCACAAAAUGUGGCUAAAUGUUCUCCUAAUGCUGGAACCUGGUGGAUGAGCCUUGCUUCAGACCUGCCCAGAGACAAGGCAGAGUAACGCUUACCGCUGCGCAUCCACUAACACGCUGAUCAGCCAGCUGGCUGCUGAGAACCUUGACCUCCUGCAUGGCAAACCCAACAUACCAAUCAAGGAGUCUGAAGGACCACAAAUAACCACAAUGUUGUUGUUGUUGUCAGGUGCUGUUGAGUCGGUUCCAACUCAUAGAGACCGAAACACUGCCCGGUCCUGAGCCAUCCUUAAAAUCAUUGUUAUGCUUGAGCUCAUUGUUGCAGCCACUGUGUCAAUCCACCUCGUUGAAGGUCUUCCUCUUUUCCACUGACUCUGUACUCUGCCAAGCAUGAUGUCCUUCUCCAGGGACUGAUCCCUCCUGACAACACGUCCAAAGUAUGUAAGACGCAGUCUCGCCAUCCUUGCCUCUAAGGAGCAUUCUGGCCGCACUUCUUCCAAGACAGAUUUGUUUGUUCUUUUGGCAGUCCAUGGUAUAUUCAAUAUUCUUCACCAACACCACAAUUCAAAGGCGUCAACUCUUCUUCCGUCUUCCUUAUUC